ACACAGUAAAGCAAAACACUGGAACACAGAAAGUGGAAAACACAGAAUCAAUCAAGAGAAUCAACAGAAGCAGAAGAUCUCAAGACGGAGAGGAAUUGUGCCCAGGAGCUGUACCUGAUAGAUUCUAUUCAGGAGCCUCAGCAGCACCUGAUGUGGACAUUGAACUGAUGCUGUCGUGGGAUGAGGCUUUAGGAACCUUAAGAAGGAGAAGACAAAGCCAGAGACAUUCGCAGCAUGAGAAGGACUCGAUGCCACAUUACAGCAUAGAGGAUCUGAGGAAGGAGAAAGCCACCCUGAGAAAGAAUGCAGACAGUCUGUAGAAGCAGAGAAUGGCUCCUGAAUGACAAUCAGCAAGGAAACAGGGACCUCAGUCCUUCAACUGCAAGACACUGAAUUAUGCCAAUGCAGGAAUGACCUUGGAAAGGGACGCUGAGUCUGGGUGAGAAUGUAGCCAGCCAUCACCUUGAUUUCAGCCCUGAAACCCUUAGCAGAGAACCCAGGCACAUCAUCCCAGAUCCUGACCUACAGAGUCCACGAUAAUAAAU
rnacentral:lncRNA from 1 species